rnacentral:lncRNA from 1 species
AGUACGAUAAGCCUGAAGCAGUGGCAUGGGAACUUCCUUUCAGAAGGACUGAUUCGGAAGAGAGGAAAGAUGGACUUGCAUCGUAUUAGAAUAUAAGGAAGAAUUGCUUGUACUUACUGCUUGCUUACAUGCUUACUCGGAACUGAACUAUCCUGACAUAGGUCCCCGAGACUUUCCGACGACACACGGUUCUUUUUCGGUUCCCUGGAUUAGAAAGUCUUGAACCCUUACGUCUUUACUCAGAGAAGUCACUCGUGGAGCGAUUUACCACUCACGACAGUGAGCAGUGACCUCAAAGAGAUUAGCCACCUUACGUACGAUUUCCAGCUUUGCUUUGGGUUCACCCGUGGCUUUCU